rnacentral:rRNA from 1 species
AUGGCGGUGCCUCUGCUGAAGAAGGCGAUCGUGAAGAAGAGGGUGAAGCACUUCAAGAGGGCGCACAGCGACCGCUACAUCGGCCUCAAGCAAAGCUGGCGUAGGCCAAAGGGUAUCGACUCCCGCGUCAGGCGGAAGUUCAAGGGAUGCACCUUGAUGCCCAACAUUGGGUACGGUUCAGACAAGAAGACCAGGCACUACCUGCCCAACAAGUUCAAGAAGUUCGUUGUCCACAAUGUCUCUGAGCUGGAGCUGCUUAUGAUGCACAACAGGACCUACUGUGCCGAGAUCGCACACAAUGUGUCCACACAGAAGCGCAAGGCGAUCGUUGAGCGUGCUGCGCAGCUGGAUGUCGUGGUCACCAACAAGCUUGCCAGGCUCCGCAGCCAGGAGGACGAGUAA